GGUCUCGUAGCUCAGCGGUUAGAGCGUCAGAUAUCAUUGCCUCAAAAAAAUUGGGAAUGUUAUUCCGGAAGACCAGGGUUCGACUCCCUCGAGACCG